AAGUCGAACGAGCGAGAGAGAGCUUGCUUUCUCGAGCGAGUGGCGAACGGGUGAGUAACGCGUGAGGAACCUGCCUCAAAGAGGGGGACAACAGUUGGAAACGACUGCUAAUACCGCAUAAGCCCACGGCUCGGCAUCGAGCAGAGGGAAAAGGAGCAAUCCGCUUUGAGAUGGCCUCGCGUCCGAUUGGCUAGUUGGUGAGGUAACGGCCCACCAAGGCGACGAUCGGUAGCCGGACUGAGAGGUUGAACGGCCACAUUGGGACUGAGACACGGCCCAGACUCCUACGGGAGGCAGCAGUGGGGAAUAUUGCACAAUGGGGGAAACCCUGAUGCAGCGACGCCGCGUGGAGGAAGAAGGUCUUCGGAUUGUAAACUCCUGUUGUUGGGGAAGAUAAUGACGGUACCCAACAAGGAAGUGACGGCUAACUACGUGCCAGCAGCCGCGGUAAAACGUAGGUCACAAGCGUUGUCCGGAAUUACUGGGUGUAAAGGGAGCGCAGGCGGGAAGACAAGUUGGAAGUGAAAUCUAUGGGCUCAACCCAUAAACUGCUUUCAAAACUGUUUUUCUUGAGUAGUGCAGAGGUAGGCGGAAUUCCCGGUGUAGCGGUGGAAUGCGUAGAUAUCGGGAGGAACACCAGUGGCGAAGGCGGCCUACUGGGCACCAACUGACGCUGAGGCUCGAAAGUGUGGGUAGCAAACAGGAUUAGAUACCCUGGUAGUCCACACCGUAAACGAUGAUUACUAGGUGUUGGAGGAUUGACCCC
rnacentral:rRNA from 1 species